UAGCAUAGCUAAGCGCCAAGCACCUUUUUCCGGGGCCGUGAACAGCCCGAGGCUUCAAACGCCCUGCGCUGCCGGAGAGAAGGUUAACGAGGUGGAGAGAGAAUCGAAGUGUUCGGCGGGUGCUCUCCCAUGCCGUCCGGGCGUGUAAUGCGCAGUGAAAUAUGCGGGUAACCGCAAAACAAACGCGGCGCAACCGGACGC
rnacentral:ncRNA from 2 species